rnacentral:rRNA from 1 species
ACUCCUACGGGAGGCGAGCAGUGGGAAUAUUGGCACAAUGGGCGCAAGCCUGACUGCAGCCAUGCCGCGUGUGUGAAGAAGGCCUUCGGGUUGUAAAGCACUUUCAGUUGUGAGGAAGGUGGUGUCGUUAAUAGCGGCAUCAUUUGACGUUAGCAACAGAAGAAGCACCGGCUAACUCCGUGCCAGCAGCCGCGGUAAUACGGAGGGUGCGAGCGUUAAUCGGAAUUACUGGGCGUAAAGCGCAUGCAGGUGGUUUGUUAAGUCAGAUGUGAAAGCCCGGGGCUCAACCUCGGAAC